rnacentral:snRNA from 8 species
UGAAAAUAGCUCUUUUAGUAUUUGUCCAGUAGGUUUCCUAUAAAAAGGAAGCCCAU